rnacentral:rRNA from 1 species
UACGUAGGGGGCAAGCGUUGUCCGGAUUUAUUGGGCGUAAAGAGCGUGUAGGCGGCCAGAUAGGUCCGUUGUGAAAACUCGAGGCUCAACCUCGAGACGCCGAUGGAAACCAUUUGGCUAGAGUCCGGAAGAGGAGAGUGGAAUUCCUGGUGUAGCGGUGAAAUGCGCAGAUAUCGGGAGGAACACCGGUGGCGAAGGCGGUUCUCUGGGCCUUACCUGACGCUGAGGAGCGAAAGCGUGGGGAGCGAACAGG